rnacentral:rRNA from 1 species
CUGUGAAGAUGCAGUGUACCCGCGGCAAGACGGAAAGACCCCGUGAACCUUUACUAUAGCUUGACACUGAACAUUGAGCCUUGAUGUGUAGGAUAGGUGGGAGGCUUUGAAGUGUGGACGCCAGUCUGCAUGGAGCCGACCUUGAAAUACCACCCUUUAAUGUUUGAUGUUCUAACGUUGACCCGUGAUCCGGGUUGCGGACAGUGUCUGGUGGGUAGUUUGACUGGGGCGGUCUCCUCCUAAAGAGUAACGGAGGAGCACGAAGGUUGGCUAAUCCUGGUCGGACAUCAGGAGGUUAGUGCAAUGGCAUAAGCCAGCUUGACUGCGAGCGUGACGGCGCGAGCAGGUGCGAAAGCAGGUCAUAGUGAUCCGGUGGUUCUGAAUGGAAGGGCCAUCGCUCAACGGAUAAAAGGUACUCCGGGGAUAACAGGCUGAUACCGCCCAAGAGUUCAUAUCGACGGCGGUGUUUGGCACCUCGAUGUCGGCUCAUCACAUCCUGGGGCUGAAGUAGGUCCCAAGGGUAUGGCUGUUCGCCAUUUAAAGUGGUACGCGAGCUGGGUUUAGAACGUCGUGAGACAGUUCGGUCCCUAUCUGCCGUGGGCGCUGGAGAACUGAGGGGGGCUGCUCCUAGUACGAGAGGACCGGAGUGGACGCAUCACUGGUGUUCGGGUUGUCAUGCCAAUGGCACUGCCCGGUAGCUAAAUGCGGAAGAGAUAAGUGCUGAAAGCAUCUAAGCACGAAACUUGCCCCGAGAUGAGUUCUCCCUGACUCCUUGAGAGUCCUGAAGGAACGUUGAAGACGACGACGUUGAUAGGCCGGGUGUGUAAGCGCAGCGAUGCGUUGAGCUAACCGGUACUAAUGAACCGUGAGG